GGGGUAAAAGCCCACCAAGGCGACGAUCAGUAGCUGGUCUGAGAGGACGACCAGCCACACUGGGACUGAGACACGGCCCAGACUCCUACGGGAGGCAGCAGUGGGGAAUUUUGGACAAUGGGCGCAAGCCUGAUCCAGCCAUGCCGCGUGCGGGAAGAAGGCCUUCGGGUUGUAAACCGCUUUUGGCAGGAACGAAACGGCGAUUCCUAAUACGAGUCGUUAAUGACGGUACCUGCAGAAUAAGCACCGGCUAACUACGUGCCAGCAGCCGCGGUAAUACGUAGGGUGCAAGCGUUAAUCGGAAUUACUGGGCGUAAAGCGUACGCAGGCGGCUUUGCAAGACAGGUGUGAAAUCCCCGGGCCUAACCUGGGAACUGCAUUUGUGACUGCAUGGCUAGAGUCUGUC
rnacentral:rRNA from 1 species